UGUUAAAAAAUGGGGAGCUGAAAGGCUGAGAGUAGGUAGAAAUACCUUGACCCAAAACCUGAUUUGGAUAAUGCCAACGUAGGGAGAAUAUCUUACUUUGAUU
rnacentral:ncRNA from 2 species